rnacentral:misc_RNA from 1 species
AUGUAGUUUCAAUCCCCCGGGUUUCCGGGAAGAUUGGAUUUGGGUGUUGCCGUCCGGCUCGCCUUAAAUGAAUUAGUGGCAAGACUAAUGUAGUCGAGAGUAAUAAGUUUCUCUUGAUCAAUUUGGUCUCCGCUUAUAAUCCGUGGAAACACAUUUAUGACUCUGACCUCAAAUCAGGUAGGACUACCCGCUGAACUUAA